GACGAACGCUGGCGGCGUGCUUAACACAUGCAAGUCGAACGGGGCGAAGUGAUAGCUUGCUAUUAUGGAGCCUAGUGGCAAACGGGUGAGUAACGCGUAGGCAACCUGCCCUUCAGAUGGGGACAACACCUCGAAAGGGGUGCUAAUACCGAAUGACGUUUCCUGGUCGCAUGACCUGGAAACCAAAGGCCGGGGCAAACCGGUUCACUGAAGGGAUGGGCCUGCGUCUGAUUAGCAGUUGGUGGGUAACGGCUCACCAAGGCGACGAUCAGUAGCCGGUCUGAGAGGAUGAACGGCCACAUUGGGACUGAGAUACGGCCCAGACUCCUACGGGAGGCAGCAGUGGGGAAUAUUGGGCGAUGGGGGAAACCCUGACCCAGCAACGCCGCGUGAAGGAAGAAGGCCUUC
rnacentral:rRNA from 1 species